GGAUAGAACUGGGUCUCUGGUACUGAGGAUAGAACUGGGUCUCUGGUACUGAGGAUAGAACUGGGUCUCUGGUACCGAGGAUAGAACUGGGUCUCUGGUACUGAGGAUAGAACUGGGUCUCUGGUACUGAGACUAGAACUGGGUCUCUGGUACUGAGGAUAGAACUGGGUCUCUGGUACCGAGGAUAGAACUGGGUCUCUGGUACUGAGGAUAGAACUGGGUCUCUGGUACUGAGGAUAGAACUGGGUCUCUGGUCUCUGAGUACUGAGGAUAGAACUGGGUCUCUGGUACUGAGGAUAGAACUGGGUCUCUGGUACUGAGGAUAGAACUGGGUCUCUGGUACUGAGGAUAGAACUGGGAACUGGGUCUCUGGUACUGAGGAUAGAACUGGGUCUCUGGUACUGAGGAUAGAACUGGGUCUCUG
ensembl:lncRNA